ACGCCCCGACGACACCUGGGCACAUCUGUCCUCCAAGCUCGAGGACCGGACUGCCGAGCCCCUCCGGCCCUGCCAGGGCUCACUAGCCCCUCUUCGCGUGCAGAGCUCGGCGCGCGUGAAAACUACAGGGUGCUUCCUAGGUCCAGCCGGCCCUGCUCCUCUGUGGGUCUCCGGUAAGGGCAAGUGACCUGUGAAUGAGCCACAAGCUUAUGAGGUGCUUGGGAGUCCAGUGAAGCCCAAGAAGUCUGUCUAACUCUAGUCUCUCUCAUUCUCUCUCCUGGAUAAAACUGUUUGCUACAAUUAGAAUUCUCAAUAACUGAGUAGUCCUGGCAGUCAGAAUACCUCCAUUCUCAACUGUUCUUGGCCUUCCAGGACUCAGCCAAAAGAGUUUGAAAAUUUCCCAAUUUAACAUCCUGUGAUGCUGGCCUGAGAAAUCAAUGUAAGAAUUGCUGCUCAACUGAGUUCCUUUUUAGAGCAUACAAAUCCUGUUAAAGCCUCUGAAAAAUCUUGAAGAUAAAAGCUCUAGUUAAACAGUAUUUACCCUAGCUCUUGUUACCUUUGCUGCCUGUGUGCCCCAUGUUGUUUCUGCUCUGCCAUAUCUGUUUGUCAUCCCUGCCUUGGA